CGGAUUUUUGCGAAUUUGUUGGUGAGGAUGAAGGUGGAGAAUAGGAGAAGUGAGUGAGAGCAGAGAGUGGAGAGCUAGAGGGAAGAGAUAUAAAGUACUGGGUUUUCUUUUUGUCUGUGGUAACGUGUGUGUGGGUAUUAAAUGGGAAACAGUAAUUCCAUUUUAUUUCCCUUUUUUUUGUAACGUUGAGUGAGAGUGGGGAGAGAGAAGAGAG
rnacentral:lncRNA from 1 species